AAAGCAAGUGUGCAGGCCUUGCUGUGAGGCAGAAUCUCUGCUAGGCCAAAAGUGGUGACUGCAUCCCAUUCCGGAGGGAAAAAUGGAAGGAGGUUGUUCCAGUUUGAGGUCAAGUUUUAAGUUUCCUUUCUGUGGUGUCGGUGUGGAUAUUGGCUCUCAGUGUGCCCAAGGGCUCUGAGUGUCUGUCAGGGCAGUCAGGGUGUGGAAAGUGUCCCUGGCCCAGCACUGCCCCUCCCAUCUGUCUCCCUCCUUGGCUGUGGCCAGCAUCUCCUGGAUCCGUGCACUCAGCCCCUGCACCAGUGGAGAGGUGCCAAAGCCCUGGGCACCCCUGUGGCAGGGAGUUCAUGGCCCUGGCAAACCGGUCAUUGCCCAGAGGGGCAGGUCAGGGAGCCCUCGGGCCCCUUGGGAAUUGACAGGAGCUGCCUUCAGCCCUGCACUCAGCUCUACCCCUGAGACACUGGGAUUCCAUCCUCUGCUAUUCACACAUUGCCCAAUCCCAAAUGGAAUAAUCAGCUCACAUGUCAAAUUGCAACUCCACCCUCAAGCGGCAGAGCUUCUGUGGCAAAUGGCUGAAAUGCCACACAGGGAUCUGAGGUGUCCAUAAAUCAACAGGCUGAAUAUGGAGAGGGUUGUCUGUGCCUGGGAACAGAUGUGGAUCCACUUCCCAAGGAUGUUGGGGUGUAAUGAGAGUUUUCCUUAAUGCAGGUUCAGGCAGCUCUGCAUUUUACAGUGGCAUGAAAGAGAACAUGGAGAAAAAGCAAUCAUAAGAGUUCUUCUUUAGGUUGUUCAAUGAAAAAUUGGAAUUAUGUUAUGAAAUGAUCAAAUUUAAGGUCUGUUUCUAAAUGGAGCAUAGUAGUGAUCAGAGUUUAAUGGAGUGCAGUACAGUAAAGCGAAAUGAACAGCUGCUUGUAUGUACAACUGCUCACUGCUCAUAUUAAGUAAGAUAUAUAUAGAUAGAUAGACACAUUCAGAAAAUAAACACCUUCACAUUCAUCCAAUCAGAAAUGUUGUAUGAUUUGUUAAUUUAUCCUUCUAGUGGGUUUAAUCCACAGAGUUAAAAUUGUAUAUUUGUCAGGUAAGUGGAAAUAAACAAUGAGAUUACAAAAACCAUGAACUCCUAGUGUCCUAUGAGGAGACCAGAAAGUUGUUUACUGAAUUAUUCAUGGCAACUUAUUUUCUCAGCUAAGUGUAACAGCAAAUAUAAAAACUUUUGUUCAGCUCUGCAUGACUUUGUGUCAGCUUAUUAUUUCCCUGAAUCACUGUUACUUUUCUAAGAGAAGAAGGAGUUCUGUAAAGGGAAACUAACAAUCUAUUGUCUCUUUUAUGGAGAGUGUAAAAAUUUUAUUUAUUUUCUUUUAAGGGGAAACAAAUGAAAAACAACACACAACACUAACUUUUAAAUUGCUGAUCGUGUGUUUAUCUGCAAUCUGUGUUUUUAAUAGUCUUAGUGUAUUAGUCUCAUUGCACAAUUUUGAACAGUAUAUAGAUAUUUCCUUUGCAAGUGUUUUCAUGCUGUGGCAAUUUUAAUUUUGCCUUAAUAUUAAAUCAGAAUAGUUGUAAGAAUGAAUACUGGUGACACUGUUUGAGAUGAUAGAGGUGAAUUAUCUCCAGCCACAAGAGACAAAGUGAGAGUGAGUGCUUGGAUUUUCACCCAGUUGGCACACUAAAGCACUCAGGGUGGGAAUAAAUAGCCAGAGUAUUUAGUGUACGAUUAAGAAAGAUGCUGUAGGAGAGCAGCAAAGAGUGAGCUGU